rnacentral:rRNA from 1 species
AACGUAGGAGACAAACGUUAUCCGGAGUUACUGGGCGUAAAGGGCGUGUAGGUGGUAGUGUAAGUCUGGCGUGAAAUUUUUCGGCUUAACCGGGAAAGGUCGUCGGAUACUGCACAACUAGAGGACGGUAGAGGCGUGUGGAAUUCCGGGUGUAGUGGUGAAAUGCGUAGAGAUCCGGAGGAACACCGGUGGCGAAGGCGGGUCUCUGGGCAGUAACUGACGCUGAGGAGCGAAAGCGUGGGGAGCGAACAGG